GAGGAGAUGAUGAUCCUUUCCCCAGACGAUCGACGAUGAGCAUAACGUGCGCUGUUUUUGUUUAUUCUCUUCGGAGAAACCAAGCCAUGGAAUCUGAUCCUC
rnacentral:snoRNA from 1 species